rnacentral:rRNA from 1 species
CAGGACGAACGCUGGCGGCGUGCCUAAUACAUGCAAGUCGAACGGUCUUUCUAUGGAAGCUUGCUCCACUGAGAAGAUAGUGGCGAACGGGUGAGUAACACGUGGGUAACCUGCCCAUAAGAGGGGGGAUAACAUCCGGAAACGGGUGCUAAUACCGCAUAGUUUUCUUGGUCGCAUGAUCGGGAAAGGAAAGACGGCCUUUGUGCUGUCGCUUAUGGAUGGACCCGCGGCGUAUUAGUUAGUUGGUGAGGUAACGGCUCACCAAGACGAUGAUACGUAGCCGACCUGAGAGGGUGAUCGGCCACAUUGGGACUGAGACACGGCCCAAACUCCUACGGGAGGCAGCAGUAGGGAAUCUUCCGCAAUGGACGAAAGUCUGACGGAGCAACGCCGCGUGAGUGAAAGAAGGUUUUCGGAUCGUAAAACUCUGUUGUCAGAGAAGAACAAGUUGGAGAGUAACUGCUCCAGCCUUGACGGUAUCUGACCAGAAAGCCACGGCUAACUACGUGCCAGCCGCCGC